GGACUGCAGCCCAGGGGCAGAGCUGAUGCUUUGCAUGCAGAAGGUCCCAGGUUCAAUCCCUGGUAGCAUCU